rnacentral:rRNA from 1 species
UACAGAGGGGGCCAGCGUUAUUCGGAAUUAUUGGGCGUAAGGGUGCGUAGGCGGCGGGGCAAGUCGGAUGUGAAAUCUCAGGGCUCAACCCUGAAACUGCAUUCGAUACUGCCUUGCUCGAGGACUGGAGAGGAGAUUGGAAUUCACGGUGUAGCAGUGAAAUGCGUAGAUAUCGUGAGGAAGACCAGUGGCGAAGGCGGAUCUCUGGACAGUUCCUGACGCUGAGGCACGAAGGCCAGGGGAGCAAACGGG